rnacentral:sRNA from 1 species
GCAUACGGGACGUCAUCAAUGUGUUUCACCGCCUUCGACAGCUAAGAGAGAAAAAGAAGCCCGUGCCUCUACUACUGGAUCAAGAUUAUGUUAAUUUAAAAAACCAAAUUAUAAAGGCGGAAAGACGAGUUCUCAAAGAGUUGGGUUUCUGCGUCCAUGUGAAGCAUCCUCAUAAGGUGGGUGUGUGGCUCCUGCCCUGUGAGCCUGCCUAGGCCGCUGCUCCAGCCUGGCCGCCUCUCUCCGCCUCAGUGCAGUUGAAGGCUCUGAAGAGGACUGAGUGCAUCCCUGACUUGGCUUCCCAGUUUCUAUCUAUAAUCUCAAGAGUAGUUCUUGACUCAUUUGUCUGUAGUGUCAGCUGUUUAUUUUAGUAACACAUUUUUAGGA